UGCAGUCGACGAUGAAGCCCAGCUUGCUGGGUGGAUUAGUGGCGAACGGGUGAGUAACACGUGAGUAACCUGCCCUUGACUCUGGGAUAAGCCNGGGAAACUGGGUCUAAUACCGGAUAGGANCGUCCACCGCAUGGNGGNUGUUGGAAAGAUUUAUCGGUCAUGGAUGGACUCGCGGCCUAUCAGCUUGUUGGUGAGGUAAUGGCUCACCAAGGCGACGACGGGUAGCCGGCCUGAGAGGGUGACCGGCCACACUGGGACUGAGACACGGCCCAGACUCCUACGGGAGGCAGCAGUGGGGAAUAUUGCACAAUGGGCGAAAGCCUGAUGCAGCGACGCCGCGUGAGGGAUGACGGCCUUCGGGUUGUAAACCUCUUUCAGUAGGGAAGAAGCGAAAGUGACGGUACCUGCAGAAGAAGCACCGGCUAACUACGUGCCAGCAGCCGCGGUAAUACGUAGGGUGCGAGCGUUAUCCGGAAUUAUUGGGCGUAAAGAGCUCGUAGGCGGUUUGUCGCGUCUGUCGUGAAAGUCCGGGGCUUAACCCCGGAUCUGCGGUGGGUACGGGCAGACUAGAGUGCAGUAG
rnacentral:rRNA from 1 species